GCAUAUUAAUAAGCGGAGGAAAAGAAAACAACCGUGAUUCCCUUAGUAGCGGCGAGCGAACCGGGAAAAGCCCAUCGCCGAAUCUCGCCGCGCACUUUUGUGUCGCGGCACGUAUGAGAGUUGUGGCGUACGGGCCGGCCUCGUUGCCGGGGCGCACGUGACGGUCCAAGUCUCCCUUGAACGGGGCCAUGGCCCGCAGAUGGUGCCAGGCCAGUAGAGGCCGUCACAGCGUUCCGGGAUCGGACCGCGCCUUCGAGUCGGGUUGCUUGAGAGUGCAGCCCGAAGCGGGUGGUAAACUCCAUCUAAGGCUAAAUACGGCCACGAGACCGAUAGUUUACAAGUACCGUGAGGGAAAGUUGAAAAGAACUUUGAAGAGAGAGUUCAUAAGAACGUGAAACCGCUCGGUUGUAAACGGACAGAGCUCGCGAAUCCCCGCCGGGCGAAUUCACGGUCGGUCUAACCGCCGGCCGGAUCUUUCGCUCGGUUAGCGGACGUCGCGACCCGUUGGGCGCCGGCCGAAUGGCCCGGGUGACGUUCGUCGCGUCGGUCGCGUUUCGGCGUGACCGUUCGCGCCGAGCCCCGGUGCUCAUGGUCGGCUCGCUCGACGGCAAGAACCGUCGACGCGGCCCCGUCGCAGGCGGGGUCCCGUCGGUCGGCGACGUGUUUCGAGCUACUUUCCGACCCGUCUUGAAACACGGACCAAGGAGUCUAACGUGUGCGCGAGUCAACGGUGAUCUUACGAAAAACCACGUUUGGCGCAAUGAAAGUGAACCGUUUACGGUGCGGACGAUGGCCUAGCGACCGAACCCACCGGCGUUCAAAGUCGCGCUGGUCCGCAGUCCGGGGGCGUCUCCGCCAAGUCGGCUUCGGCCGGCUGGGGGCGCACCCUUAGCGCACACGUUGGUACCCGAAAGAUGGUGAACUAUGCCUGGCCAGGAUGAAGUCAGGGGAAACCCUGAUGGAGGUCCGCAGCGAUUCUGACGUGCAAAUCGAUCGUCUGAGCUGGGUAUAGGGGCGAAAGACUAAUCGAACCAUCUAGUAGCUGGUUCCAUCCGAAGUUUCCCUCAGGAUAGCUGGCGCCGAUGUGUCCCGCCCGUUCGCGGGCGUACGGACGCCGGUGGGACUCCGCGCUGUACGGCGCGGUAACAACACGCUCGUAACACGGAGGAUGUCUCAUACGGUAAAGCGAAUGAUUAGAGGACAUUGGGGCCGAAACGACCUCAACCUAUCUCAAACUAUAAAUGAGUGAGAUCGCCGGCUUUACCUGGUACACCGCGUGAACCGCGUGCGAAGCCGGCGACGGAACCCUAGGCGCUUAGUGGGCCAUUUUUGGUAAGCAGAACUGGCGCUGCGGGAUGAACCGAACGCCGAGUUAAGGCGCCGAAAUCGACGCGUAUUCAGAGACCAUGAAAGGCGUUGGUUGCUGAUGACAGCAGGACGGUGGCCAUGGAAGUCGGAAUCCGCUAAGGAGUGUGUAACAACUCACCUGCCGAAGCAACUAGCUCUGAAAAUGGAUGGCGCUGGAGCGUCGUGCCUAUACUCGGCCGUCGACGGCAUAGUGGGGCCAGUCGUCGCUCGCGGCGGCCGGUCCCGGCAAGCCUCGACGAGUAGGAUGGCGCGGCGGUGUGCGUCGAAGGGCAGGUCGCGAGACCGCCUGGAGCCGCCGUCGGUGCAGAUCUUGGUGGUAGUAGCAAAUACUCGAGAGGGGCCCUCGGGGGCUGCCGUGGAGAAGGGUUUCUUGUGAACAGCCGUUGUCCAAGAGUCAGUCGAUCCUAAGCCCGGGGAGAGAUCCUCGUACCACGGGCGAAGGCGUUUUCGAAUCGCCCUUGGGGCGAGAGGGAAUCCGGUUCGUAUUCCGGAACCCGACGCGGAACCGCUCCCUAGUGUUCGGGGCUCUUUUGUCUCGUCUGGGUAACCAGAAUGAACUCGAAGAAGCCGCCGGGGGAUCUGGGUAGAGUUCUCUUUUCUCUGUGAGCGUUGUACGUCCCUGGAAUCCUCUAGCCGGGCGAUAGGGACGCGAGCGCGAAGAGCACCGCUCGUUGCGGCGGUGUCCGUGAUCCCCACGCGGACCUUGAAAAUUCGAGAGAGGGCCACGCGGAGUCUUCGCGUCGGUUCGUACCGAUAUCCGCAGCAGGUCUCCGAGGUGAGCAGCCUCUAGCCGCAUAGAAUAAUGUAGGUAAGGGAAGUCGGCAAAACCGAUCCGUAACUUCGGGAUAAGGAUUGGCUCUGAGGAGCGUGGCUGCCGGGUUCGGGUCGUCGUAGAAGCGUAGGCGUUUUUGGCGACACCCCGGCCGUCGCCCGUGCGCCCGGUCUUCGGAACGGGAGCCUCGAGGCGGCCGCGGGCCCGUCGCCGUCCGCCGACCGUGGAACCACCGAGCUUCGGUCGCUGGCCGCGUCGCGGCCGGCCGACCGCCUUGGUGUCGGUUCGCCGUCACCGGGCGGUCCGGCCGCCGCGCCGUCGGUCGCGUAGCCGGAUCGACAGCCAUGUAACGGUCAACUCAGAACUGGCACGGACCAGGGGAAUCCGACUGUCUAAUUAAAACAAAGCAUCGCGAUGGCCCGGGACGGGUGUUGACGCGAUGUGAUUUCUGCCCUAGUGCUCUGAAU
rnacentral:ncRNA from 1 species